UACAGAGGUCUCAAGCGUUGCUCGGAUUCAUUGGGCGUAAAGGGUGCGUAGGCGGCGCGGUAAGUCGGGUGUGAAAUCUCGGAGCUUAACUCCGAAACUGCAUUCGAUACUGCCGUGCUUGAGGACUGGAGAGGAGACUGGAAUUUACGGUGUAGCGGUGAAAUGCGCAGAUAUCGGGAGGAACACCAAUUGCGAAGGCAGCUCGCUGGGACGUGACUGACGCUGAGACGCGAAAGCGUGGGGAGCAAACAGG
rnacentral:rRNA from 1 species